rnacentral:lncRNA from 1 species
CGCAGAGGAGAAAAGCAGCCGUGCUUGUUCCAGAAAGACUGAUGUGCACUCCGGCGCGCCCUGGGCACCUGCGGAGAGGGAGUCUGCAGACAUGCCUUGGCUAACGCUUAGGAAUCUGGUACGGGAGGCUCGGCGUGACCUGGCUGCAUCAUGUGGACAGAGCUACAGAGGAGGAUGGACAGACAGACCCAGGCAGCCCCACUCAGUGUACGUCUUAACGCUGAGACGAGCGCCCGGGCAGGUUGGGGGCUCUUCUGGCUUCACCCCCAACUGCUAAAAGGCCAGUGGGUGUCAUCACAGCGUAACCCUCCCUCCACAAAUGAGAUCUUCAGGGAGCACUUAGCGAAUGCAGGACAAGGGGAGAAACAGACCCGCACGAAGCCUUCGACACCUCCUUCUCCCUCCCAUGUACAAGUAAGUCGGUCUUUCCGCUGGGGCCGGGGGCGCUGAGCUGCGAGGGAGCGUUCUCAUUUACUGCCGCCUUCAGCUUUCUUUGAGCCGGAGAAGCCGCUCUCUAAAGGGGACCAGCAGCUUCUCAGAGAGCCAAGGGCAAGGUGAAGCAGCCUGGGUGAGGUGGCCACACACGGGCAUCCAUGUCGGCAAACUGCCUGAGUCCUGCCGCACACUAACUGUGAGACAAGCAACUGAUGUCAUCCUUCUGAGCUUCCACUUCCUUCCCUGUGCAAUGGGCUUCAACGCGGAGGCAAGAUUGUGGGUCUCAAGCGUUCCCCAGGGGGCCGCUGUGCUUGGCA